rnacentral:lncRNA from 1 species
GGGCGGUGUGGACACCGCCUGCAGGCGAGGAGAAGGGGUGGCAGAGAGGGUACCUGGGGAUACCCACCCACCAUCCCAGGGUCUACAACAUCCACAGCCGGACCGUCACCCGCUAUCCUGCCAACUCUAUCGUGGUCGUGGGAGGCUGUCCCGUCUGCAGGGUUGGGGUGCUGGAGGAUUGCUUCACCUUCCUGGGCAUCUUCCUGGCCAUCAUCCUCUUCCCCUUUGGGUUCAUUUGCUGUUUUGCCUUGAGGAAGCGACGAUGCCCCAACUGUGGAGCCACCUUCGCUUAAAGGGAACACCAGGCCCGGCUUUCCUACACCCAGCUCUCUUUUUCUAAUGUAAAUGUUGUGUACAAUAGUUUUAUUUGAUUAAGCUUCAGGACUGUUUUGUAAAGCGAGGUGGGACCGAUGUGGCACACGCCAGCUGCGGUUUCCCGGAGCGUGGAGAGGCAGCGCUGCUGCUCCCGCCCGAGGCUUAUGACAACUCAAUAAAGCACUGCUUUUAUUUUUUGCAGUCUUCAAUUUGAGAAAGGUGAGAAAUAAUGUUUUCAAUAAAUGAGAU